rnacentral:misc_RNA from 1 species
GAUGAAGAACGUAGCGAAAUGCGAUAAGUAAUGUGAAUUGCAGAAUUCAGCGAAUCAUCGAAUCUUUGAACGCACCUUGCGCCCUUUGGCCAUUCCGAAGGGCAUGCCUGUUUGAGUAUCAUGAACACCUCAACUCUUCAUGGUUUUCCAUGAUGAGCUUGGACUUUGGGGGUCUUGCUGGCCUGUGGGUCGGCUCCUCUCAAAUGAAUCAGCUUGCUGGUUUUUGGUGGGCAUCACAGGUGUGAUAACUAUCUACGCUUGUGGUUUUCCACCAGGGUAACCUUCAGCAGUGGAGGUUCACUGGAGCUUACAAAUGUCUCUCCUCUGUGAGGACAGCCCUUUGAAUGUUUGAUCUCAAAUCAGGUAGGACUACCCGCUGAACUUAAGCAUAUCAAUAAGCGGAGGA